CGCGGUAAUUCCAGCUCCAAUAGCGUAUACUAAAGUGUUGCAGUUAAAAGGCUCGUAGUUGGAUUUCUGGCGGGGACGGCUGGUCGGUCUCGAAAGGGGCUGUACUGUUGUUGGUUCCCGUCAUCCUUGGGGAGAGCGGCUCUUACAUUAAGUUGUCGGCGUCGGGAUCCCUAUCUUUUACUGUGAAAAAAUUAGAGUGUUCAAAGCAGGCUUAGGCCCUGAAUACAUUAGCAUGGAAUAAUAAGAUACGACCUUGGUGGUCUAUUUUGUUGGUUUGCACGCCAAGGUAAUGAUUAAUAGGGAUAGUUGGGGGUAUUCGUAUUCAAUUGUCAGAGGUGAAAUUCUUGGAUUUAUGGAAGACGAACUACUGCGAAAGCAUUUACCAAGGAUGUUUUCAUUAAUCAAGAACGAAAGUUAGGGGAUCGAAGAUGAUUAGAUACCAUCGUAGUCUUAACCAUAAACUAUGCCGACUAGGGAUCGGUGGGUGCAUUUUUAGGCCUCAUCGGCACCUUAUGAGAAAUCAAAGUCUUUGGGUUCCGGGGGGAGUAUGGUCGCAAGGCUGAAACUUAAAGAAAUUGACGG
rnacentral:rRNA from 1 species